GUUGUAUAGUCAAGUAAUUAAGUGCAUGUGGUGGAUGCCUUGGCAGUCAGAGGCGAUGAAAGACGUGAUAGCCUGCGAAAAGCUCCGGGGAGGCGGCAAAUAUCCUUUGAUCCGGAGAUGUCUGAAUGGGGGAACCCACCUACUUUAAGGUAGGUAUUGCAACAUGAAUACAUAGUGUUGCAAGGCGAACGAGGGGAAGUGAAACAUCUCAGUACCCUUAGGAAAAGAAAUCAAUUGAGAUUCCCUCAGUAGCGGCGAGCGAACGGGGAUCAGCCCAUUAAGUUAUGUGUGUUUUAGUGGAACGCUCUGGGAAGUGCGAACGUAGAGGGUGAUAUUCCCGUACACGAAAGGGCACACAUAAUGAUGACGAGUAGGGCGAGGCACGUGAAACCUUGUCUGAAUAUGGGGGGACCAUCCUCCAAGGCUAAAUACUCCUGACUGACCGAUAGUGAACCAGUACCGUGAGGGAAAGGCGAAAAGAACCCCUGUGAGGGGAGUGAAAUAGAUCCUGAAACCGCAUGCAUACAAGCAGUGGGAGCACCUUCGUGGUGUGACUGCGUACCUUUUGUAUAAUGGGUCAGCGACUUAUAUUCAGUAGCGAGGUUAACCGUAUAGGGGAGCCGUAGAGAAAUCGAGUCUUAAUAGGGCGUUUAGUUGCUGGGUAUAGACCCGAAACCAGGCGAUCUAUCCAUGAGCAGGUUGAAGGUUGGGUAACACUAACUGGAGGACCGAACCCACUGUCGUUGAAAAGCCAGGGGAUGACUUGUGGAUAGGGGUGAAAGGCUAAUCAAGCCUGGUGAUAGCUGGUUCUCCCCGAAAGCUAUUUAGGUAGCGCCUCGGACGAAUACCAUAGGGGGUAGAGCACUGUUUCGGCUAGGGGGUCAUCCCGACUUACCAAACCGAUGCAAACUCCGAAUACCUAUGAGUACUAUCCGGGAGACAGACUGCGGGUGCUAACGUCCGUAGUCAAGAGGAAAACAAUCCAGACCGCCAGCUAAGGCCCCAAAAUCAUAGUUAAGUGGGAAACGAUGUGGGAAGGCAUAGACAGCUAGGAGGUUGGCUUAGAAGCAGCCACCCUUUAAAGAAAGCGUAAUAGCUCACUAGUCGAGUCGGCCUGCGCGGAAGAUGUAACGGGGCUAAAACUAUGUGCCGAAGCUGCGGAUGUAUACUUUGUAUACGUGGUAGGGGAGCGUUCUGUAAGCCGAUGAAGGUGUGUUGAGAAGCAUGCUGGAGGUAUCAGAAGUGCGAAUGCUGACGUGAGUAACGACAAAACGGGUGAAAAACCCGUUCGCCGAAAGACCAAGGGUUCCAGUCCAACGUUAAUCGGGGCUGGGUGAGUCGACCCCUAAGGCGAGGCCGAAAGGCGUAGUCGAUGGGAAAAUGGUUAAUAUUCCAUUACUUCUGUGUAAUGCGAUGAGAGGACGGAGAAGGCUAAAUCAGCCUGGCGUUGGUUGUCCAGGUGAAAGGAUGUAGGCAUGUAUCUUAGGCAAAUCCGGGGUACUCUAUGCUGAGAUCUGAUAGCAAGCUGUACUUGUACAGCGAAGUGGUUGAUGCCAUGCUUCCAGGAAAAGUCUCUAAGCUUCAGUUACACAGGAAUCGUACCCGAAACCGACACAGGUGGUCAGGUCGAGUAGACCAAGGCGCUUGAGAGAACUCUGCUGAAGGAACUAGGCAAAAUGGUACCGUAACUUCGGGAGAAGGUACGCUGUUGUUGGUGAUGGAACUCGCUUCCUGAGCUGACGACAGCCGCAGAAACCAGGCCGCUGCAACUGUUUAUUAAAAACAUAGCACUCUGCAAACACGAAAGUGGACGUAUAGGGUGUGAUGCCUGCCCGGUGCUGGAAGGUUAAUUGAUGGGGUUAGCGUAAGCGAAGCUCUUGAUCGAAGCCCCAGUAAACGGCGGCCGUAACUAUAACGGUCCUAAGGUAGCGAAAUUCCUUGUCGGGUAAGUUCCGACCUGCACGAAUGGCAUAAUGAUGGCGGCGCUGUCUCCAGCAGAGGCUCAGUGAAAUCGAAAUCGCUGUGAAGAUGCAGUGUACCCGCGGCUAGACGGAAAGACCCCGUGAACC
rnacentral:rRNA from 1 species